GGGGGUCAUUUAACAAACAUUACAAAACAACAAUAUUGCACUGUUCAAAUUUAGCUCAUUAAUAUAUCUGAGAAUAACAUACACAUUUAAACAAUUAUUAUUUCUGUAACUUCCCUGUAAAUCUAUGAAUAAAGGGUCAUCCUUACAUCAUACAUCUAGAUUUGCUCUGUAAACUGUGAUCAUAGCUUUAAAUUUCCAAUUCUUUCCAUUUUUUGUAUUUAUCAAAGACAUUGAAAUAAGCAACAAUCAAAGUUUUACAAAUACAUUUUACACAUGACUUCUAUAGAAAAC
rnacentral:lncRNA from 1 species